rnacentral:ncRNA from 1 species
UGGUAACAGCAAUAUGAAUGAACAAGGGAACCAGGUGAGAAUCCUGGACGGUACCGCCGCUGUAUGCGUGGAGUCUGUGAUCCGUCGGUGAAAACCGGCCAUUGGGAAACUGAGAAGGCAGGAUACAGGCGAAGGAAAACUUCCGAAAGCGCGAGUCAGAAGACCUACAAA